GACGAACGCUGGCGGCGUGCCUAAUACAUGCAAGUCGAGCGAAGUUUCUCUGGUUCUUGCACUAGAAACACUUAGCGGCGACCGCGUGCGUAACACGUCCCGAACCUGCCUCAUAGACUGGGCCCCCUAUUGGUAACGAUAGCUCAUCCCCGAUAACAGUAUUUCUCGCAUGGGAGCUUUUUAACAGUUGGUUAUGCCAACACUAUGAGAUGGCUUUGCGGUGCAUUAGCUAGUUGGUGGGGUAAAGGCCCACCAAGGCGACGAUGCAUAGCCGACCUGAGAGGGUGAUCGGCCACCGUGGGGCUGAGACACCGCCAAGAGUCCUACGGGAGGGCGCAGUAGGGAACCUGCCGCAGUGGUCGAAAGCCUGACAGAGCAACGCCGCGUGAGUGAAGAAAGAUUUCGGUUCGUGAAGCUCUGUUGUUAGGGAAGAAUGGCUAUCUACUAAGUAUACACGUGAGCGACGGUAACUAACCAGAAAGCCAGGGCUAACUACGUG
rnacentral:rRNA from 1 species